rnacentral:rRNA from 1 species
UCAGUCGACUCCUACGGGGAGGCAGCAGUGGGGAAUAUUGCACAAUGGGGGAAACCCUGAUGCAGCCAUGCCGCGUGUGUGAAGAAGGCCUUCGGGUUGUAAAGCACUUUCAGUAGGGAGGAAGGUAGUGUAGUUAACACCUGCACUAUUUGACGUUACCUACAGAAGAAGCACCGGCUAACUCCGUGCCAGCAGCCGCGGUAAUACGGGAGGGUGCGAGCGUUAAUCGGAAUUACUGGGCGUAAAGCGCAUGCAGGCGGCCUGUUAAGUCAGAUGUAGAAAGGCCCGGGGCUUAACCUACGGUAAUUGCAUUUAGAAACUGGCAGGCUAGAGUCUUGUAGAGGGGGGUAGGAAUUUCAGGUGUAGCGGUGAAAUGCGUAGAGAUCUGAAGGAAUACCAGUGGCGAAGGCGGCCCCCUGGACAAAGACUGACGCUCAGAUGCGAAAGCGUGGGGAGCAAACAGGAUUAGAUACCCUGGUAG